AGAUAUUUUAAAUACAAAAAAUAUUCGCCAGAGAAUUACGAGCUAAAUAUGCUUAAAACUCUAAGGACUUGGCGGUACCUCAAACCCACCUAGAGGAGCCUGUUCUAUAAUCGACAAUCCACGAUUCACCUCACCAUCUCUUGCCAACUCCGCCUAUAUACCGCCGUCAAGCUUACCUUAUGAAAGAUAAAAAGUAAGCAAAAUAAUAUAAACAAUUAAUAGAUCAGGUCAAGGUGUAGCUUACUGAGAUGGAAGAAAUGGGCUACAUUUUCUAUACUAGAAAUAACCUACGGAAAGAUACCCUGAAAUAGGUUCUACAAGCAGGAUUUAGCAGUAAACUGGGAAAAGAGAGCCCAA
rnacentral:rRNA from 1 species